rnacentral:tRNA from 1 species
GCACUAGUAGCUUAACAAAGAGCACCGGUCUUGUAAACCGGCAGGUAGAGGUUCAACCCCUCUCUAAUGCU